rnacentral:lncRNA from 1 species
CGGGUUUCCGCUCACAGCUCCACCGUAAGCUCCGCUGCCCACGGCGCUCACCUGAGCCGGGCCCUCUGAUACCAUCUCAUUGCACCGCAGUGCCCUGCGACGAGGCAGCUCAGGCGCUGUCUGCCCCAUUCCUCUCCCCGGGGUCGGGGACAUCAGUUGCUUCCCUGAGUAGCAGAGGAAGGAGACUGAGAGCAAUUUAGAGACCUUUCCUUGGCACUGUGCAAGAUACAGCCUCAGAAAUUCUGGAAAGCUGGCUUCAGCCUGAGCAGUGCAGCCCUGCCUUGUUAUUUCCUGCAGAAUUCUUCUCCAGCUCAGCCCUCCCCGAGAUGGAGUCCGUCUAAAACCCCAGAUUCCAGGGGGCUCCAGAGCCAUGGUCCGCCUGAGCCCCUGACGUUACCAAGGGCUUGAACAUGCGGGGAGCUUAUUACUAGAGAAAAGCUGCCUGGCCAGUGUGGGGACGAGACUGCAGAUCCAAAAGGAUGGAGCCUUGCAUUUGAGGAACUUGAAGAGAGAAGGACUAACUCUCAGGUGCCUCCCCAAGAGGUGGGGCUUUGCUUUCAGGCUGAAACAUUCAGAAGUUAAAAUUUUAUCAUUUUCCCAGACUCAGAGGAAGUAGACUAGCUAAAUCAAACUCAGGAGAGGAAAGUUGAUAAAAGGUGAAUUCUGAGUUCAUUUAGUCACUGUGAAAAAUGUAACUGCUGAUGGAGUGGAGUGCUCCAAGUUAUUUAUGGAAUAUUCGAGGAGAAGUUUGAUCGAAGUUAGUCCAAGAAUCUGAGACCCAGGGAAAUAGAAACACACGCUCGAAGACAGGCCCCUUGUCCAGGGCAGAGUGGGAAUACAAGCCUUGGCCCCUCCCCAUUUCAUACAAGAAUGAUGGGGUUCAGCCCUAUCGCACCCCCUCACAGGAGAGUCUCUCACGAACCACGUCACAGCUGGAGCCAUGUGUGACAACCAUGGAUUAGAACAAGACUUUCAUCCCAUUUGCUGAGCAGGAAGGAAUUCUUCUGUGGAGUCUUUUUUUUUGUACCAGGGAUUGAACUCGGGACCUUGCACUUGCAAGGCAGGCAGUGGAACCACUGAGCUAAAUCCCUGGCCCUGGACUCAUUUUUUAGAGACACAAAUUUUGACUCCUCUUCUUUUUCUAAAUUCCAUGAAGAAAGGCCACUGAGUCUGUAGUAGGCUCAGAAAAAUGUUGAUUUAAGGUAUGUUAUUUCUGAGUUAACGCCCAAUUGCAUGGUUGGGGUAUGGCUUGAGGGUUUUAGGACCUGUAAGAGGUGGAGCCCAGUAGAUUCCUGGUUAGUUCUUUUCUUUUGCUUUUUUUUUUUUUUUGGUACCAGGCAUUGAACUCAGGACCUCAUGCUUGCCAGGCAGACGCUGUGCCUCUGAGCUACAACCUCAGACCCCUGGUUAGAUCUUGAGACAAGGCGUUUUCAGAGCCAUCACUUCCUGGCUUCUGUCUCCCCAUGUGAUCCAUCUCACUCUCAUCAUUGUGAGACUAUUGGCCAUGCGGGUCUUCCUAGAGCUGGGAAAAAAUGUGUUUUUGAACAUUCAGAACAGUGAGCUAAAUAAACCUUUUUUCUUUAUAAGCACCCAGCCUCACAUAU